rnacentral:rRNA from 2 species
GGGCUGCAGUAUUUUGACUGUACAAAGGUAGCAUAAUCAAUAGUCUCUUAAUUGGUGACUUGUAUGAAAGAUUGGAUGAAAUAUAGACUGUCUCUAAUUAAUUUAUAAAAAUUAAUUUUUUAGUAAAAAAGCUAAAAUAAUUUUAAAAGACGAGAAGACCCUAUAGAGUUUAAUAAUUUAUUUAAUUAUUAUUAAUAUAUAAUUUUUAAAAUUAAAAUUAAAUAAAUUAUUUUGUUGGGGUGAUAGAAAAAUUAAAUUAACUUUUUUUAUUUAUUUACAUUAAUUUAUGACUAAAUGAUCCAUUUAUAAUGAUUAAAAGAAAAAAUUACCUUAGGGAUAACAGCGUAAUUUUUUUUUUUAGUUCAAAUAGGAAAAAAAGUUUGCGACCUCGAUGUUGGAUUAA